UUAUUUCUUUGACUCUACAUUACUUGAUCACAUAUCGAUUUCUUAGAUUGAAGGAAUUUAUGUGAAUUUCUUGAUAACUUAUGAGAGUAUCUACCCUUGCAUAUGUGACAUAUCCAAAAGUUGCUCUAGUGGAAUUGGCUUGGGUUUAUGGUCAUUUGUUCCUGAAAAAAGGGAUGUUACUAGUAUAGUUAACCAUUUAGUGGCAGUGAGGGCUGUCUGACUUGUAAUUGCUUCUUUUGGUCUCUUGUACUAGAUACCUGUGUUCAGAAAGUUGGAUUAGUUUGGUUGAGUUUAUGGUGCACUUGAUUGUCUUUCUGGUCAUUUGCCUUUGUUUUCUGUCAGGACUCCAAUGCUUUUAUUACCAUGACUUUUCUCACCAAAUUACACAAGCUAUUGAUGGAAAAUAUGAUACCCAGCCAGAAGAUACGCAUGUGCUUUUUCGUUUUCCAUCCAUCUGUGAUCCAUGCAGAGAUCUGCAAAAUGAUAAAUGCUACAAGAGAAGCUGGGGGUGUAGAUCAACGGGAUGUAGAUCACUCACUGAUUGUCCAGAUUAACAUGAUAGUGUUCCUGAUCCAUGUUCUUGCACAUGACCCGGAUUUCCCUUCAGAAGACUGCAUGGAUGAGCAUGUAUAUGCUCGGUUUUGUGGCCCUAUGUUGUCGGUGUUACUUAGUAACAAGGAAACCGUCCUUAUCUUGUUUUCUAUCUUACGGGCAAUUAAAAGAGCUGCAGAUGCUUGUAAAACUCCGUUAAGUUUGACGUGGUAGCACUGAAUAAACGUGAAAUCCGGCCUGGUGGAUUGAGGGGAAACCACAGAGACACCAUACAUAUAAUGAGACGUUCGUCAAUAUGAGGAGCCAAGCCAGCCAGCCAAGACAAUGGGAGAACGGAGUUCCCAAUGAGUUGAUUGUGGGGACGAGGAAGAGAUCUUCUGUUCAGAGUGGAGGUGGAAGCUUUUAGUAGUGAGAAGAUAUUCCUACCAAGUCUGUAUUUGGGAGUCGGAUGGUGAAAAGCUGGGGAUAUCACUUGUGUCAUGUUCAGUAUCCAUAUGAUAGAAGAAAGAGAUAUCAAGAUGUGAAAUAUUGUAGGUUUUUUUUUUGUUUUUCUUUUGGAUGUGUGUUUGUGGUUGAUGCAUUGACACGAGAUUAUCAGGUUGUAAAACGUAUGAUAUAGUAAAUCAGUUUUUUCAUGUUCCAAA